rnacentral:rRNA from 1 species
GACGAACGCUGGCGGCGUGCUUAACACAUGCAAGUCGAACGAGACCCCGUCUUCGGGUGGGUGUUCUAGUGGCGAACGGGUGAGUAACACGUGGGCAACCUGCCCCCGGCUCUGGGAUAACUCCAAGAAAGUUGGGGCUAAUACCGGAUAUUUCCGCUGACCGCAUGGUCUGGUGGUGGAAAGGGUUUCCGGCUGGGGAUGGGCCCGCGGCCUAUCAGCUUGUUGGUGGGGUAGUGGCCUACCAAGGCGACGACGGGUAGCCGGCCUGAGAGGGUGACCGGCCACACUGGGACUGAGACACGGCCCAGACUCCGUACGGGGGCAGCAGUGAGGAAUUUUCGUCAAGUGGGGGCAACCCUGAACGAGCAACGCCGCGUGCAGGAUGACACUUUU